GAUGAACGCUGGCGGCGUGCCUAAUACAUGCAAGUCGAGCGAACAGACGAGGAGCUUGCUCCUCUGACGUUAGCGGCGGACGGGUGAGUAACACGUGGAUAACCUACCUAUAAGACUGGGAUAACUUCGGGAAACCGGAGCUAAUACCGGAUAAUAUAUUGAACCGCAUGGUUCAAUAGUGAAAGACGGUUUUGCUGUCACUUAUAGAUGGAUCCGCGCCGCAUUAGCUAGUUGGUAAGGUAACGGCUUACCAAGGCAACGAUGCGUAGCCGACCUGAGAGGCUGGUCGGCCACACUGGAGCUGAGACAGGGUCCAGACUCCUACGGGAGGCAGCAGUAGGGAAUCGGCGGCAAUGGGCGAAAGCAUGGCGGAGCAACGCCGCGUGAGUGAUGAAGGUGUUCGGAGCGUAAAACUGUGUUAUUAGGGAAGAACAAAUGUGGAAGGAACUAUGCACGUCUUGACGGUACCUAAUAAGAAAGCCACGGCUAACUACGUG
rnacentral:rRNA from 1 species